GCGGUGGGGUAAAAAGGGGGAAAUCCCCAGAUCUGGCGGCGGCGGCGGCGAGGAAGAAGAGGAGCUGGGGUUUGGUGUUUGUUGUUGCGUGGUGUGUGUGGGUCGGAGGGGGUUUGGUAUUGGCGGUGGAAAGACUCGCGAGGAGGAUGAAGGCGGCGGCGUUGUUGGAGAGGAUAUAUGAAGGCCGAGGGCUGCGAUUUGGGGAUCUAGGAGGUCGAGGGCCUGAUUUUGGUGGAAGAGCUGGCCGGCGGUGGUGGAAAGCUUGAGGAAGGAGAGGAACGACGCUGUGAUUUGAGAGAGAGAAAGAUGAAUUUUUGUUUUUUUUUAAUUUUUUUAAUAAAAAUGACAUGUGUAUUGCCAAAUCAAUUAAAUUGCCACGCGUAUUGCCACAUACAAUAAAAAUGCCACGCGUAUAGUCCACGUCAUUGCCGGUCAACUUUAAUUAUGG
rnacentral:lncRNA from 1 species